GAUGAACGCUGGCGGCGUGCCUAAUACAUGCAAGUCGAGCGAAUGGAUUAAGAGCUUGCUCUUAUGAAGUUAGCGGCGGACGGGUGAGUAACACGUGGGUAACCUGCCCAUAAGACUGGGAUAACUCCGGGAAACCGGGGCUAAUACCGGAUAACAUUUUGAACCGCAUGGUUCGAAAGUGAAAGGCGGCUUCGGCUGUCACUUAUGGAUGGACCCGCGUCGCAUUAGCUAGUUGGUGAGGUAACGGCUCACCAAGGCAACGAUGCGUAGCCGACCUGAGAGGGUGAUCGGCCACACUGGGACUGAGACACGGCCCAGACUCCUACGGGAGGCAGCAGUAGGGAAUCUUCCGCAAUGGACGAAAGUCUGACGGAGCAACGCCGCGUGAGUGAUGAAGGCUUUCGGGUCGUAAAACUCUGUUGUUAGGGAAGAACAAGUGCUAGUUGAAUAAGCUGGCACCUUGGCGGUACCUAACCAGAAAGCCACGGCUAACUACGUGCCAGCAGCCGCGGUAA
rnacentral:rRNA from 1 species